AUUGAACGCUGGCGGCAGGCCUAACUCAUGCAAGUCGAGCGGAUGAAGGGAGCUUGCUCCUGGAUUCAGCGGCGGACGGGUGAGUAAUGCCUAGGAAUCUACCUGGUAGUGGGGGAUAACGUCCGGAAACGGGCGCUAAUACCGCAUACGUCCUGAGGGAGAAAGUGGGGGAUCUUCGGACCUCACGCUAUCAGAUGAGCCUAGGUCGGAUUAGCUAGUUGGUGGGGUAAAGGCCUACCAAGGCGACGAUCCGUAACUGGUCUGAGAGGAUGAUCAGUCACACUGGAACUGAGACACGGUCCAGACUCCUACGGGAGGCAGCAGUGGGGAAUAUUGGACAAUGGGCGAAAGCCUGAUCCAGCCAUGCCGCGUGUGUGAAGAAGGUCUUCGGAUUGUAAAGCACUUUAAGUUGGGAGGAAGGGCAGUAAGUUAAUACCUUGCUGUUUUGACGUUACCAACAGAAUAAGCACCGGCUAACUUCGUG
rnacentral:rRNA from 1 species